rnacentral:lncRNA from 1 species
CACAGACUCUUGGGGGGGAUAUUUCAGAUUAGGUCAUGCCUGGGUAGAUCUGGGAGGAGAGAGCAGGGGUGAAAAAAAGGGCCACUUCAGGUACACUAGUUCAGACUAGAGGGAUGUGGGUGGAUGAGGCCCUAACAUGGAGACUGCAUAGCUGUAGUAGGAAGAGGGACCCAUCUCAGGUGGCUCCACAGGCAGUGCUGUUCCCACCCUCUCUUUGUCAGAUGCCAGCUGUCAUCACAAUGGAAAGGCAGCAGCCUGAACUGUCAUGGCCCAGAGGAAAUUCACAAGCAAUGCAGGUACCCUCCAACAAAGCUAACAACUUUUUGGUCACAAGCAAUGAGGAAUCCAAAGGAUCCAGGAGUGGGAAAGAAGGCAUUAGACAGUGACAAAUGUGUCUCCUGAAGGUACUGGCCGUAUAACUGCACCAAGGCAAUCACCAUCUCUUUGCUCAUAUGACCAUUGUGAUUAUGACACAAGAUAAAGUGAAGGCAGUACACAAAAUUAUUAAGAACAUGAACAGGUAUGGUAAUAAUAAUAAUAAUAAUAAUGGUUCCUGUCUCAUAGAAUUGUUUAAUGGCUAAAUUAGAUGAUAUGAGUGAUUGAACACAAUGCAUGGUUCAAAGUAGGUUAUCCAUAGCAUUACUUACCUUCCCAUAUUUCUUCUUCCUUUCCAACUUUAGAAAUGAGAAGAAAUACUCAGUUUCAGAUGGACAAAGCUAGAAGAAGGUUGCUGUCACCAUUACAAUAUAAACAAUUUCAGGAAAAACUUCAAUUACUUUUCUUGCACUCUUUAGGGAAUUCAGGUCACAGGACAAAAAUCUGAGAAUCUAGAGAGUCACCACAGAGAGAAACAAGGCCCACCAAGACACCCAACAGGACUCAAUAAUGCCAGUAGGAAGAUUCAGCGAGAAAAUUUUAAUGAAUUGCUAAAAUCUGAAUGUGGUCUAGUUUUUUUUUUAUAUAUGAAAUUUAUUGUCAAAUUGGUUUCCAUACAACACCCAGUGCUCAUCCCAAAAGGUGCCCUCUUCAAUACCCAUCACCCACCCUCCCACCCCCCAUCAACCCUCCCUCCCUCCCACCCCCCAUCAACCCUCCCUCCCUCCCACCCCCCAUCAACCCUCAGUUUGUUCUCAGUUUUUAACAGUCUCUUAUGCUUUGGCUCUUUCCCACUCUAACCUCUUUUUUUUUUCUUCCCCUCCCCCAUGGGUUCCUGUUAAGUUUCUCAGGAUCCACAUAAGAGUGAAACCAUAUGGUAUCUGUCUUUCUCUGUAUGGCUUAUUUCACUUAGCAUCACACUCUCCAGUUCCAUCCACGUUGCUACAAAAGGCCAUAUUUCAUUUUUUCUCAUUGCCAUGUAGUAUUCCAUUGUGUAUAUAAACCACAAUUUCUUUAUCCAUUCAUCAG